UUUUCCUCAUAUUCUACGAAAUACAAUCACAAAAAGUACUUUUGAAACCCUAGGAUUCUUUCACUGAUUCGUAUCUCGAAAUCUCCAGAUUCCACCUUCCCUUCCUCUCCGACGAUACCACAAAUUGCAAUCCCUUUCACCUUUUAUCUCCAUCACCAUCUCUCUUUCCGCCGUCGUUUGUUACCGCCUCAGUAAAUCGGUCGUCGCUGGCCACCAUCACUCACCUCUCACUCUGCUCAACACACAGAGGAGCUAAGUUAGCUUUCUUGGCUAGAGAUUUCCUGCUAUUUAGAGCUUCCAUCGCUCUUGCUUCCUUGAAAACAGAGGUGCCGAACACUUAUCUGAAUGGGAAGAUUGCUCAACGUUGACAACAAUUAAUUCAACAUAGGUAGGUAUAGACUUUUUUUGGACGUUUCCUGGAAAAUGGUGUUAGAAGAUGCAAAGAUUUGAUCCAAAGGUACCAUGUGAGUAGUAUACUCUCUUCUUUGCAGUCAUAAUAAUCUUUUGCCAUAUCUGGAUGCAGGCACCAUAUUUGUGCUGAACCUUGUGUUCUAGAGUAGUAUGCUCUCUCUCUUUCUCUCGCCUUUGCUGUUGAGGCUCUUAGCUUCUAGGAUUUUGAUUUUCUUGCUGUUUUUGGGCAUUAUAGGCUAGAGAUCUUUUUGAUUUUAGAUAUAUUUAACAUCAAAUUGAUAUGGGCCACUAACAAAGGAAAGGCCAAAAAAUGCAAAAACCUAUUGCCAAAAUUCUACCCUUUCAUUGUCCUAU